GCUGGAGAGGAUGUGGAGAAAUAGGAACACUUUUACACUGCUGGUGGGAAUGUAAACUAGUUCAACCAUUGUGGAAGUCAGUGUGGCGAUUCCUCAGGGAUGUAGAACUGGAAAUACCAUUUGACCCAGCCAUCCCAUUACUGGGUAUAUACCCAAAGGACUAUAAAUCAUGCUGCUAUAAAGACACAUGCACACGUAUGUUUAUUGCGGCACUAUUCACAAUAGCAAAGGCUUGGAACCAACCCAAAUAUCCAACAAUGAUAGACUGGAUUAAGAAAAUGUGGCACAUAUACACCAUGGAAUACUAUGCAGCCAUAAAAAAUGAUGAGUUCAUGUCCUUUG
rnacentral:lncRNA from 1 species